ensembl:lncRNA
AUGGUGAUGGCUGCACGAUUCUGUGAAUGCACUAAACCCAGUGAAACGUGCACUUCCAGUGGGUGACCGUGUGGGGUGGGACCUGUUGACCCCCCAGGGCGGCUCCCCUGUCCGGUCUGGCUGAGUCCCUCACCAGCCCUGAGCCUAAGCGGCUGCUGGGGAGAAAGCUGAAGGCGCCGGGACCCCCAGCCUGCGGGCAGGACGGAGGCUCCGGGGCGGGGCAGCGAGCAGGCCACGCCCACUUCACCGCUGACCGCGCAGAGACAGGCAGGCCUGCGGGCGGGCGGGAGAGCAGCACAGCGGGCUUCCAGCCCGAGGCCGCCAGACCACAGAGCCCCAGGCCACGGCAGUGAAACCAAGUGACACCGAAGUGAAACCGAAGCCACCGCCUGGCAGCGCAGCCCGUUGGAGGGGAGAGGGCAAGGGGGAGUCCUCGGGCGGCCCACGUGGCAGGAGGCAGGAUGGAGGGAAGAGCCGCGCUGUAAAUUGCGGUGAUUUAAAAAAAAGAAAACCGAGGGGCAGGUCCGGCCGGCCAGAAAUGCUGCCACGUUCUCCCUUCCCCCCCCCCCCGCCACCCCCCGCCCGCCCCGCCGCCGGCCCCACCGCGGGUCCCCUCGCGCCGCAGUCUCCGGGGGAUGCCAUCUUGUGGGUGGCGGAGGAGGGGCCGGGGCAGGACUGGCCUCGUUCCCUCGGGGUGACGCUGAGCCCCGGGGACCAUCUCCACAGCCCGAGGCACAGAUGCAAAGCCGGGGUCCCCCGAGGGUGGAGACGGGCUGCCUGGGGCGAUGGGGGGUGGGGUGGGGGACGGGCAGGAGGGUCUGCCGGGGAGCUGGGAGCGGAGCGCAGCGGGGUGGCUCGCGUGCGGGGUUGUCCCCAGGCCACCGCGCGGCGGUUUCCCGUCUCCGCAGAGCACAGAGAGGGUGGAGCCAGCGAGCACGUUCCGCCGCAGUCAGGAUGGAACUGAGACCCCGGCACAGUGUCUCCCCCUCGGCACUGGGGACAUUGGAGGCCACAUCACUCCCUGUGGGGGGCCGUCCUGGGCACUGAGGGGUGUCGAGCAGCAUCCCCGGCCCCCACUCACUCGAUGCCAGGAGCACCCCCAGUGUGACCACCACAGAUGUCCCCAGACGUAGCCCAGUGUCUCCUGGGAGAUGAGGAGUCACCCCCCCCUGGUGUGACCCACUGCCCUACGCGAAUUCCCGUGGUGAGCUCUGAGCCAGACCCCGCCAGGCAGGCAGGCAGGCAGGCCCCCGGCUUGGGAGCCCUCAUCGGGGUCCCCAGGGGUGCUUGGGGGGUCGCGUGUCCAGCCCGGAAGUGAGGGGGCGCCGGGCGCGCAGCGCGCAGGCGCGGGGAGGGGCCAGCGCCAGGUGGCCGCGCAGAGGGGCCCAUUGCGCGGAUGGGAAGGCUGAGCCGCGGCGGGGUGGGGACGGCAGCGCCCCCGGAGGAGCCCCCCAGCUUCUUCCACCCUGAGCUGCCCCGGCCUCCCAGCUGCCAGGGGCCCAGCAUCCACCCAGCCGCGAGCAUCGGGGCUGCGGGAGCGUCGCUGCUCCGUGAUGCUCGGGGUGGGGGUGGGGGGGUCCCGGGAGAGGGCGCGGGGACCCCGGGCUCGGGGGCUGCGAUGCGCCCGGUGGCGCCAGGCUGUUUCCACAGCGCGCACCUGGUUGGGCCGCCCCGGGUGUGCCGGCGAAAUGUCAG